UUGUCCUUUUUUACACACCCUUUCUCUCUCUCCCCUUUCCCAACCCCUUUAUUUACCACUCCCCUCUCUCCCACUCUUCAUCCUCACACUUCUACUGCAAUUCACACUCUCUCUCUAUCUUCAUAUCAUUCCCUCUGCCAAUUAGUGAAAACCCUAAUUCUCAUCCAAGAUAGGAAGCUUACUUUUUGAGGGGAAUGUUGUUUGGCUCGAGGCCCAUAACAAGAUCUAUCCCCACACAUAUGCAUCUUUAUGCAUACAUUUGUAUCGGUUAUUACUAUAUCGGUAUCUCGGAUCGUAUGUUAGGCGUCGGACCAGGCUUCAUUCCCCCCAAUUUCUAGCUUCCUUGAAAUUGUAGUCCACCCUUGUUGCCGGCCGGCUAUACUGGCACGCAAGAGAAGAUUGGUGUGAUGAUUAUGAAAGUUGACUUGAGCUUUGAAAGAAGAAAAGUACACCCUGCACCCCUACAGCUACUAAUGUGGAGUAUUAUUUCUUCAUCAUUACUUCCAUCUAUUUUCUUUCUCUUUUCUAACACUUGUAAAAUGGGUUUUUGUUUUGUUUCUUAACUUUUUCUCUGCCGGUUUAUCACUAUGUGUGAACUAUCCAUCAGAUCUCCUUUUUUACCAUACCAUUUUCUAUCUCAUGCGCUACAUACCAACUUCGAAAUUAAUCAUUGCCAUUUAUCGCCGGUUGCUCAUGUUCAUUUCUGUUACCUUUAUUUUCUCACAGUUGAUUUAGGGUUUCAUAUUCGUUUUGCUGCUAAAAUUAGCAAUCCUCUAUAGCUGCCUAAUUUAAGUCUUUGAUUUGUUAGUGCCCAACUUUUUUUUUCUUAUAACAGAGUUUGAGUUUUCAACUAAGAUUCAAGAUCUAUUUAGGCCACGUCUCCAUGUAUUUCAUUUUUUUCCUUUUCAACUAAGAAUCAAUCUUUAGCAAAUUUUAAACAAAAAAAAUACUCCUUAUGAAUUAAUUGAUAGUUUAAGGGAUAGGCCAUCAAGAUUUUCUAAUCGUGCCUCAUCAAAUUUCGUAGUACCUUUCCAUAAAUUAGAACAUUAAUUAAUUUACAAUUUUCACAAUGCUGGUUUCUCAUGUGUGUGUGAAGGUGAUGAAUGAUUUAGGAAAAACAUGUAUGAAUGAUUCUUAGCGUGUUGAUAAGCAUAAUUACUAUAUACUGAUGUGAUAACCUUGCCAUCUCAAAUCACUGUCAUUCAUGAAUAGGAUGAAAAAAAUAUUCAUCCUUUAUUAUAGGUUUUCUUUUUUAAAAUAUAUAAACAAGGAAAAAAGAAAGAAAAAACAACUUGAUAUGAUUUGAAUGAUAAGAAUUGAUGGGAUUUUUCAAAAAAGUAGGUCAGGAGGGUAGAGUUUACUUGAACAAUUGUCCAGUGGGAUAUAGAAAGUAUAAUAAUAAUGUGAUUGAAUAUACUGCAUAUUUAUACUGUGAAAGUCAAUUGCAUUUUGCAUGAGUAUUUUACUCCAUUUAACAUGAAUAGCCCUACACAUAUAUAUUCAAACAUAUAUGGAGUAUGUAGUGUUGUUUUCUAGCUUAGUAUUAUUUAUCUUUUUUUAUGGGCAACCGAAUAUAAAUUUAAAGGUUGUGCCAGGUGGACUCGAACCUAGGAUCUUUGGCCUCCGGCAUUACCACUCUGUACGGCUUGGCCAACUUACAUACACUAUAGACUCCUUUGUCUUAUAUAAAUGGACAGUGGGUAACCAGUAUUAAGCACAUCUUAUCACAUUUGGGGUCUGAAGAUGCUGUGGAGAGAGAGAUGUUAAUCACAAUAAAUUAGUAGUGAUGAAUGUGGAAAUAGGAAUAGUUGUUGGGGAGAUUGAUAGAGAGGUAGAGGCACAGGAAAUGAUAUGAAAGAAAUGAUGUGGAAAAGUGAAAUAGAAGGCAUCUGAGUGUGUUACAGACAAGAAAGGCUGACAAAUUAAACUGGCCUUCUCAUUGUGUCAUCAAUUGCUGAAGCUGCUGCUGAUGCUUCACCCCUAUCAUUUAAUGCAUUCAUCUCCUACAAAUUCUCACUAUUUUAAUUUUUGUUUCUUACACUUUCUCUACUUUUGUUAUUCAACCCCACUAUAGUCUAUACUGCAUAUAUAGUGAGUAGUGAGUGACGGUGAUGAUAUCCCCAAAUUCAAAAAUUGAAGUCACCAAUUUUUGUUUUUAUUAGUGAGAACAGUGGUGAUGUGUGGAGGUGUCGGCAUAAGUUGUGCAGGUCUUCGCUUCUACCCCCACAAUUUCAGCGUUGCCUCUUUUUUUUAGUAAUAAAAUUGAACAAGUUAUAUGUGAAAAAA